UGAGCAAUCUGCCCUUCUCAUCGGAAUAAGCGUUGGAAACGACGUCUAAUGCCGAAUACGACCUCCUUUCGCAUGAUCGGAGGUGGAAAGCUCCGGCGGAGAAGGAUGAGCUCGCGGCCUAUCAGCUAGUUGGUGUGGGUAACGGCCCACCAAGGCGGCGACGGGUAGCCGGCCUGAGAGGGUGACCGGCCACACUGGGACUGAGACACGGCCCAGACUCCUACGGGAGNAGCG
rnacentral:rRNA from 1 species